UAGGGANUCUUCCACAAUGGGCGAAAGCCUGAUGGAGCAACGCCGCGUGUGUGAUGAAGACUUUAGGGUCGUAAAGCACUGUUGUAUGGGAAGAAAUGCUAGAAUAGGGAAUGAUUCUAGUUCGACGGUACCAUACCAGAAAGGGACAGCUAAAUACGUGCCAGCAGCCGCGGUAAUACGUAUGUCCCGAGCGUUAUCCGGAUUUAUUGGGCGUAAAGCGAGCGCAGACGGUUGAUUAAGUCUGAUGUGAAAGCCCGGAGCUCAACUCCGGAAUGGCAUUGGAAACUGGUUAACUUGAGUGUUGUAGAGGUAAGUGGAACUCCAUGUGUAGCGGUGGAAUGCGUAGAUAUAUGGAAGAACACCAGUGGCGAAGGCGGCUUACUGGACAACAACUGACGUUGAGGCUCGAAAGUGUGGGUAGCAAACAGGAUUAGAUACCCUGGUAGUCCACACCGUAAACGAUGAAUACUAGGUGUUAGGAGGUUUCCGCCUCUUAGUGCCGAAGCUAACGCAUUAAGUAUUCCGCCUGGGGAGUACGACCGCAAGGUUG
rnacentral:rRNA from 1 species